AUUGAACGCUGGCGGCAGGCCUAACACAUGCAAGUCGAACGGUAACAGGAAACAGCUUGCUGUUUCGCUGACGAGUGGCGGACGGGUGAGUAAUGUCUGGGAAACUGCCUGAUGGGGGGGGAUAACUACUGGAAACGGUAGCUAAUACCGCAUAACGUCGCAAGACCAAAGAGGGGGACCUUCGGGCCUCUUGCCAUCGGAUGUGCCCAGAUGGGAUUAGCUAGUAGGUGGGGUAACGGCUCACCUAGGCGACGAUCCCUAGCUGGUCUGAGAGGAUGACCAGCCACACUGGAACUGAGACACGGUCCAGACUCCUACGGGAGGCAGCAGUGGGGAAUAUUGCACAAUGGGCGCAAGCCUGAUGCAGCCAUGCCGCGUGUAUGAAGAAGGCCUUCGGGUUGUAAAGUACUUUCAGCGGGGAUGAAGGGAGUAAAGUUAAUACCUUUGCUCAUUGACGUUACCCGCAGAAGAAGCACCGGCUAACUCCGUG
rnacentral:rRNA from 1 species